rnacentral:lncRNA from 1 species
AGGAGGUACAUGUGCAGGUGUUUUACCUGGAUCUAUUGGAUGAUGCUGAUGCUUGGAAUACAAGUGAUUCCGUCACCCAGUUUGGUUGCUAUAUCAAGUUCACUAUUCAUUCUUCUGAAAUAUCUACUGUGAUAGCAGUCUCCUCCAGUGUGUUUUCAUAACAGGUUUAUUUACCUGCUUUAUUACAUGACUGGUAAUAUUUGAUUGGAUGUUCGACAUUGUGGAAUCUAUGUCAUUGACACCUGGGCAUUUUUGUACUUUGAAGGUUGCCAUUUAAAUCUCUAGAAAAUAUUCCCAGAACUAGUUUGAACCACUGGAAGCAUAUUAUUUUAUUUUUCACUUGA